CAGCAGCCGCGGGAAUACGAAGGUCCCGAGCGUUGUUCGGAAUCACUGGGCGUAAAGGGAGCGUAGGCGGCGUGGUAGGUCAGAUGUGAAAUCCCGGGGCUCAACCCCGGAACUGCAUCCGAUACUGCCAUGCUAGAGGAUUGGAGAGGUAGCUGGAAUUCUUGGUGUAGCAGUGAAAUGCGUGGAGAUCAAGAGGAACACUCGUGGCGAAAGCGAGCUACUGGACAAUAACUGACGCUGAGGCUCGAAGGCCAGGGUAGCGAAAGGGAUUAGAUACCCCUGUAGUCCCUGUCUCUUAUAC
rnacentral:rRNA from 1 species